ACCGCGGUAGCCCAGUUGGUAGUGGCGUAGGCAGUACAGAUGCCGAAGGUCGCAGGUUCAAAUCCUGCCUGCGGUG